AUUGAACGCUGGCGGCAGGCCUAACACAUGCAAGUCGAGCGGUAGCACAGAGAGCUUGCUCUCGGGUGACGAGCGGCGGACGGGUGAGUAAUGUCUGGGAAACUGCCUGAUGGAGGGGGAUAACUACUGGAAACGGUAGCUAAUACCGCAUAACGUCGCAAGACCAAAGAGGGGGACCUUCGGGCCUCUUGCCAUCAGAUGUGCCCAGAUGGGAUUAGCCAGUAGGUGGGGUAACGGCUCACCUAGGCGACGAUCCCUAGCUGGUCUGAGAGGAUGACCAGCCACACUGGAACUGAGACACGGUCCAGACUCCUACGGGAGGCAGCAGUGGGGAAUAUUGCACAAUGGGCGCAAGGCUGAUGCAGCCAUGCCGCGUGUAUGAAGAAGGCCUUCGGGUUGUAAAGUACUUUCAGCGGGGAGGAAGGCGAUGUGGUUAAUAACCGCGUCGAUUGACGUUACCCGCAGAAGAAGCACCGGCUAACUCCGUGCCAGCCGCCGCAGUAA
rnacentral:rRNA from 1 species